rnacentral:lncRNA from 1 species
CAUCACUGCUCCUCACAUACUGGGCCACUGGCAGUUCCCUAGAUGAGCCACGUUUUUCCUUUUCUCUGGGCCUCUGGGUGUGCUGUUUCUUCCGCCUGGAUGCCUGACUCGUGCCUAACCGUCCACCUGUCCCCCAUGAUUGUCAGUCAUGGUGGGCUCCUUGAUGAAUGAACUGAGCUCAGAGCAGUUAAGCACUUCUUCAAGGUCUAAUGAUUGAUAAACCUCAGAGUGAAGAUGUGAAUUCAGACCACGAAUG